GACGAACGCUGGCGGCGUGCCUAAUACAUGCAAGUAGAACGCAGUUGCGAACGGGUGAGUAACGCGUAGGUAACUGCCUGGUAGCGGGGGAUAACUAUUGGAAACGAUAGCUAAUACAGCAUACUACCAGAUGGACAUGCGUUGUAUUAGCUAGGUGGUGGGGUACCGGCUCAACAAGGCAACGGUACAUAGCCGACCUGAGAGGGUGAGAGGCCAAACUGGGAAUGAGACACUGCCCAGAAUCCGACGGGGGGCAGCAGUUGGGAAUCUUCGGCAAUGGACGGAAGUCUGACUGAGCAACGCCGCGGGAGUGAAGAAGGUUUUCGGAUCGUAAAGCUCUGUUGUAAGAGAAGCGGUAUCUUACCAGAAAGGGACGGCUAACUACGUGCCAGCAGCCGCGGUAAUAC
rnacentral:rRNA from 1 species